rnacentral:rRNA from 1 species
GUUCUUACAGGUUGGUCGGGUGGUGCAUUUGCAGGUGGAGUGCGCUGAGCGGCGUGGGCCAGCGGUUGGAGGCGCACCAAGAGGCCUUCCCCUCACGGGGAUGGAACCAGGGCGCGUGGAAGACUGUUUGGCCUGCGCACCCAAGGGCGACGGCUUACGCGCGUCGUCUCCGCCGCAAUUCCGACUCGUAACGGUCGCAUGCGACACGUGCUUGGCGGGGUGGCGGUUGGGGCGGCGUGCCCGCUUGCCCGGCUCGGCGUAAAAGUUGGUCAUCUCUCCGACCCGUCUUGAAACACGGACCAAGGAGUUUAACGUAUACGCGAGUCAUUGGGCGGCAAACCCAAAGGCGCAAUGAAAGUGAAUUGACAUGCGAGCACCCAUUUGAAUGGGUUGCGCAGCAUGACCCCGUCCCGACCGCUCGCGGUGGGGCGGAGGCAGAGCGUAUGCGCUGAGACCCGAAAGAUGGUGAACUAUUCCUGAGCAGGACGAAGCCAGAGGAAACUC